CGAAUGCUGGCGGCGUGCUUAACACAUGCAAGUCGAACGGAAAGGCCCUGCUUUUGUGGGGUGCUCGAGUGGCGAGCGGGUGAGUAACACGUGAGUAACCUGCCCUUGACUUUGGGAUAACUUCAGGAAACUGGGGCUAAUACCGGAUAGGAGCUCCUGCUGCAUGGUGGGGGUUGGAAAGUUUCGGCGGUUGGGGAUGGACUCGCGGCUUAUCAGCUUGUUGGUGGGGUAGUGGCUUACCAAGGCUUUGACGGGUAGCCGGCCUGAGAGGGUGACCGGCCACAUUGGGACUGAGAUACGGCCCAGACUCCUACGGGAGGCAGCAGUGGGGAAUAUUGCACAAUGGGCGGAAGCCUGAUGCAGCAACGCCGCGUGCGGGAUGACGGCCUUCGGGUUGUAAACCGCUUUCGCCUGUGACGAAGCGUGAGUGACGGUAAUGGGUAAAGAAGCACCGGCUAACUACGUG
rnacentral:rRNA from 1 species